GUGACAACCCUAGAAAAGGAAGUGGCCGUGUACGCUCAGGGCAGAUAUCACAUGGGGAAAAGCAUUCCAGCAUUGCCUCUUCAGCAUGCUUCAGCCCUCAUAUGAAAGGACAGGAUCUGCAGGUCACAUGGAGAUUUGUUUCUGUGUCUUUCAGCCCUGGUUCCU
rnacentral:sRNA from 14 species